UACUGUAAAAUUUUCAAAAAAUCAAUUUUUUGUUUAUUGGCUUAAAAAAUACUUUGAACCCUCUAAAAUAAGGUACAUUAGGUGUUAUAGCCGGCUAAAUUUUUCUUCAUUGAAAUUUCGACCUUUUACCGAAGCGCUCCGAAACGCGUACCUGCGGCAAAUUCCUAUCUGUUCGGCAGGUACAGCGUAGUGACUUGCAAUUCAAUUUCUAACAUUUCUAAUACUCCAAGUCGAUCAACAGAUGUCACUAGGUAUAUUUUAUAGUCAGUUAGAAGCGAUUUCAACAGUAAGGACGCCGGUAGUGCGUAAUUUUAAGGGCCAGUGUGUCGAACAGCUGUGAUCGUUUCGGCGUUUCCCGCGUGGCUAACGUAUAGUUUUUAUACUUUUAUCAAAAUGAAGCCUGCUUCUUUCGACCGAAAGGGUUCACGCGAAACUCCCGGACGACCUUCACGACGUAGGAAAAGACCGUCGCCACCAAAUCGCCAUACGAUGGAGAAUGAAACGGAAUCGACAAGUUCUUCCGCGAAAAAAUUAAGAACGAAAUCGGUGGAAGUGGAAAUUAAUAAUGGCUAUGGAUACCGUUUGAUUGAAUUUUUAUUCUUGUUUCAAACGCUGAGGAUAUACACAGAACAGCAACGAGAGCCUGAAUGCGAUGAUCUGGUCGUUAGCUCCGAAACAAACAUUCAGCGGCGCAAAAACCGUCGAUAUUGCGUCGUAUUGUGCUGCGAGCAUUUUCAAUAAAGGCUACUCCAGUAUCCUCAAAAUGAUGGACGUUAUGAACAUCAAAAUUGGACCAAACGCCUUCAAUUUAUGCAACACCGUGGACGAGCGCAGAAUAUCACAAGCAAACGAACGGUCGUUCGACGCUUCAAAAGAAGGGAGAAUCGAGAGAAGAACGGCGCGAUCGGCACUCGAAGAGGAUUUCCUUGAACAAGAAGGUGUACUAUAUGAAGCAGGAAUGGGCGAUUAAUGAUCACCCAGACGUGAGAUUUCAUGUACACCGUUUGGGCACCUAAAAAAAACGGACCUGCGCUUGAAGGAGUGCCACGACGGCAAUUUUGAAUAUUUCGACUUGAAAAUUUUUUUACAAAUACUUGAAUAUAUAAUAAAGAUGACGGUUUAAUUUAAUUUAAUGUACGAGUCAUAUUUUGUUAGAAAAAAAAUCCGGAAAAUCGGCCUGUUUUUUCCCUUGUCACAGUAGACUUCCCCCUUAACACAUUGUUGACUGAUGUGGGAGAUGUUGGAUGUCGGAACGCAGCCGAUGGUCCAAUGAGGAGAACUCAUUCUCGAAAAUAAAUUCUGUCAUUGGACCAUCGCAUCUGCGUUCCGACAUUCAACUCCGACAUACGGCGUAUUGUGUUCCAGACCUUAGGCCGGUUCUACAAUACGUCGUACGUCGCUGUCGAACGUCGGAACACAGUUGAUGGUCCAAUAAGGAGAAUUCGUCUCGAAAAACAAAUCCUUUGAUUAGUCCAUCGGCUGUAUUCCGACAGCGACAUACGAUAUAUUGUAGAACAGGCUUGAAACAGACUCGGAACGCUAUAUGCGCGAUCGGCGUAUGUUACAACUAACCAAUCAGAUUCUUUCCCGCUUUUCAGGUCUCUAUCAGUCUCUAUCUCUCUAUAAGUAGAAGUACUUCGUUCCAUUCUCUUUCUGUGAAUAACAUUGUGUGGUUCGCAAGCAAAUCAAUUAGGUUGCAAAUCAGGUCUCAGCAUCAUAUUGGUACAAUUGUUACUUUUGGUCAGUUUUGUUCAUGCACUACCACAGGCAGAACAUUGGGAUAGUUUGAUCAUCAUGAAAUGGAUAUGCAGUGAAAUGGCCCGAUUCUUUGUAGUUGAAUUUGAAGACGAACUACAUUUAGUACCCUGUAUACGGUUACUCGGAAAAUCUGAAUGCUUUUGGCCACCAUAUGAAAAUUACAAACUAAUAAACAAAGCAGUUUCUGAAUGCAGAGAAAUAGAUACCGAAAAAUGGAAAAUAGUAAAAACAGUCCGUAUUUUUGCAACAGCAAGUAAGUGAAUGAAUGAUUACUUCAAAUAUAUAUUGAUACGUAAUAAAAAGCAAUUUCUUUUCUAAAAUAAACUUUACAAUAUACAUAUACACGGUUCCAUGAAUAUCUUCCUGCAUAAAAUUCAAACCACAACUAGACGUAUUCGUAUUAUCCUGUAUCUGGAUGCAUCAUGUUGAUUAUUUACAAAAAUAACAACUUUUCAAAGCGAUUGACCUGACAGCUCAACAUGUUUUCGAUAUGUGAUACAUACGAGAGUGGAAUGGCCAAGGUGAAACUGGCAGAAAAGUUAUCUGAUAUAGAUUCAUCAGUUAAUGAAAAUAAUAAACAAAAUCGUCAAAAUAGGGCGAAAAAAAAUAUUCAUUCCGACGAUGAAUAUGAGGAUUUACGUUGUAUGUUACUUCCACCGCCAAAAAAACCAACUACGCUCUCUAUGAACAAGCCUUCAGAAUACUCUUUGAAGAGUCCAAAUAGAGAACAUUCAAGAUUAUCAAAUAAAACAAGUUAUGAGCAGAAAGAAAAUUGUAAUCGUACAGAUUUAUCAUCAUCUUCGCUAUUUCAUGCUAAACAAGAAGUUACUUCUCGUGAUACCAUAAAUGAAUCUGCGCGUGAGGUUUUGAAAAAGCCAAUUGCAACCAUUGACUCAAGGAUGUUAAAUGUUAACAAUUGUAAUUCAACAAUUUUAGAGGAUAUGGAACUCAAAAGAGAAUUAUACGUAAGUGCAAUAAAAUGGAUUCAAAGUUGAAUUGUAUUGAUGGGAGAUUGAGAAAUCUCGAAGAAAAGCUAGAAAGCGGCAUAAAUGUUAAAAAAGAUGAAUAUUUUAAUAUUGAAGACAUUGUAUGUUUGCCUUUAAAAACCAUUGGCGAUAUGACAAAAUUAGAAUUGGAUUUGCAAGAUACAAAUUUCUUUAACCAUAUGAUAACUUUUAUGAGGCAGUUAGGUGAAAAAACAUAUCAUGACAUGAUAAUUACAAUUCUGAAAAAUUUUAUUACUAAUUACGUUUCGAUGCUAUAUUAUUGGAAUGGCAAAGAUGCUAAGAAAGCAGCUUUUAAAGAUUUGUUAUUAACUAAGUGCAUAAAACAAUGUGUUCAUGCGAAAUUCCAAACAGAUGACAAACAAAUAAAUGAAGUUAUCUCCAAAUGGUUAAUUCAAGUCAAAUUGCGUCAUGACAGAGAUAUGGAACGAUUACAGCGAAAGCAACAAAAAGAACUGGCAGAGGCAGAGUCAUUUUAGUUUUUAGUUCGACGUUUCGACGUGUGUUACGAUGCGCUUUACAAUACUUUAUUUUUUAAAUUUAAAAGUUUAUUUUGUAUGUUUACAUUGGAAAGUUUAUUAAGUUGUGUUGAAAAACAUGUUCAACAACAUUGAUAAUAUGUAUAAAUUACACUGACAAAUUUUGUUUUCAAACUAGUAUAC